GACGAACGCUGGCGGCGUGCUUAACACAUGCAAGUCGAACGGAAAGGCCCUGCUUUUGUGGGGUGCUCGAGUGGCGAACGGGUGAGUAACACGUGAGUAACCUGCCCUUGACUUUGGGAUAACUUCAGGAAACUGGGGCUAAUACCGGAUAGGAGCUCCUGCUGCAUGGUGGGGGUUGGAAAGUUUCGGCGGUUGGGGCUGGACUCGCGGCUUAUCAGCUUGGUGGUGGGGUAGUGGCUUACCAAGGCUUGGACGGGUAGCCGGCCUGAGAGGGUGACCGGCCACAUUGGGACUGAGAUACGGCCCAGACGCCUACGGGAGGCAGCAGUGGGGAAUAUUGCACAAUGGGCGGAAGCCUGAUGCAGCAACGCCGCGUGCGGGAUGACGGCCUUCGGGUUGUAAACCGCUUUCGCCUGUGACGAAGCGUGAGUGACGGUAAUGGGUAAAGAAGCACCGGCUAACUACGUG
rnacentral:rRNA from 1 species